GGAACUUAGGAUGGGCAUUGAUGCAGCAGAACAACUAUAUCGAAGCAGAAGAUGCCUACAGGCGGGCACUUUCCAUGGCUCCAGAUAAUAACAAGAUGUGCAAUCUGGGUAUCUGCUUGAUGAAGCAAGGGAGGAUUCUGGAAGCCAAAGAAACCCUUAGAAGAGUGAAACCGGCUGUUGCAGAUGGCCCGAGAGGUGUAGAUUCCCACCUCAAAGCAUUUGAGAGGGCACGGCAGAUGCUGCUUGACCUUGAGUCUGAAAUGUUGAAUAAGGGAAGCGACCCUGUCGAGCAGAGUCGGCUCUUUGAUGCCUUCCUCAGUUCUUCAGCGCUCUGGCAGCCUCAGCCUUGUAAGGACCAGCACACAACGAAUACAAUCAAAUCUCAAGAUGAUUUUGGGGAUGAGAACUUCGACACCAACAGAGUCAUGAAGGUUCUUUCUGGACAGAAGAUUGCCAAACCAACGGCUGUUCAUGCGAACUCACUCAACGUCGCGGCAUUGCCAUUCUACUCAUCAAAGACGACCAAGGACCCAAUUGGAAAACCACUGCAGGAGUCCCUUAAGAGAACAAGAUCAGGGCAUGGUGCUAAUUCGAUAGGAGUGAAUGAAACGGGGGCGUUCAGAAAGCCCUUAAUGGAAUCCAUGGAACCAGAAAAUAAGACUAGAAGGCGAUCUCUUUCACCCGAAGAAAAUGGGGACAAGUGGGCAGACUUUCUGCCAGACAGCAAGGAGUUUGAAGCGGCUCUUAUUGCUGCAGUUCUGGGUUCAGCCACUGAAACAGGGAAGAAGACUGUGGAGACUGGAAACAGUUCUGGAAUUUUACAGAAUAAGAUUGAGAGUAGGUUUAAAGUCUUUCAAGACAUAACACUCUCUCUGAGCCCAAGAGCCUAACCUCUCAAUUAGUGUCAACUAAUUCAAUUUAGUUUUUACAAGCUAUAAUAAUAUAGGUUUUAGGUUGGAGAUGAUCUUGUUCUCCUGGGCUCCUGUUCAAGCAGAAGGGGGGGAGGAGGGAGUACGCAGCUAUGCAGAGAGUAUGGUAGCAGUCCCUGCUGGGGUAGUAGCAGCAGUAGUUAUAGUAGAUGCAAUUCAUUAAUUCUUGUCUACCUCUCAAAAUAAAGGGGGGCACACAUCUGUAAUAAAACAUAUUAUUAGCUACAUUUUGACUCAAGAAAAUGAGGAUCUUGCCUUGUUCUAUAUUGUGAAUGCUGAUUUCUCUUCCUCAUUUCAAAGUGUAUGGCAUUUAAUUUUGAUCAUAUGAAGAGCUCCUAAUUGUUUAGGAACAUAGUUUUCUUCAAUGAAUCUUUGUGAGGUGAGAUCUUCUAAUAAUACAUGGUUUCUUCUUAUACAUGAUCGAUCCUGUUUUACUCCUGUUCCCUUUGACUUCUUCGUCUAUAGUAGAAAGUAAUGGCUAUAGCAGUCGUCGCAAAAGCAACUCCUGCAGCAGUUUUUGCCAUGGUUGAACUGUUCUUCACAGCUGUGAUUACCCUGGAAAAGUCCAAAUAGGAGGAACAAACCUUAGCUCCGAAAGCUGCUUGUGGGAUGCCGCAUAAUCUCUGAAGAAAGCCUCCAAAUCCUGCCAUGUACCAGAAAUAAUAUGAUAAGAAAAUCAGCAAAGGGGGUUACAAGAGAGACUGCAUGAGACUUACGUGAACACCCACGAAGGUUCCAGCAUAAAUACUACAUUACCUGUUCAUACAACCUAACAUAUUCUAGGAAUUUACCUGUUCAUACAACCUAACAUAUUCUAGGAAUUUAGGAUCCUUUAUUAAUGCUUGGUCUGUGGAAAAUAUAAACAAUCGCCUGCCUCCCUGUUGAAUCCUCGCCUGCAGCUGAAGAAGAAGGUUUCUGCUGUGAAUACCCUGUUGGAGGGUUACUAGUUGUAAGAGACUUGGUUGAUGAUUUCAUAAGCUCCCUGAUUACAAUAUUAAUCAUAACAUAUAGCCAUCAUAUAUAAUUGAAACAUUACUGCAUUUAUAUGCGUUCCAAUCAAUGAAUUCUCAAAUGAAACCUUACUUGAAAUACGAAUUGUCGAACUUCCAGGGCUCCUCUGUCCACUUGCCAUCAAAGCCUGGAACUUGCUUACGUGCCCCUCCCUACAACACCAAACCAAACAAAAACUACAUGCAUAUGUGCGGGUGCUGAAAGAACUUUUUAAAGAUAGCUGCAGAUCUGUGGAGGAAGUUACCAAUGUAUGAGCUCCGGAGAGGGCCACAAUAUCCUUGUCCUCAAGACCCAUCCGGUUAAAGACUGACCUUAAAUGUUCAGCACCUGCAACAAAAUUUAAUAAUAGAAAUAUAAAUUUUAUGCUUGGUCUUAUAUGGGAAGUAUAAGACAGCUCUGAUUUCUGAUGCAUAACAACCAAGAAACAAUUUGUAGAAGGAGCACAGCUGAAAAGCUAGAGAGGGGACCAAGGGGUGAAAUGACAGAAUUCGACAAACCAUAAGGUUCAAGUCUCUAUGCAUUAUCUGAGUUAUAGAGCAGAAUAGGAAAAUGACUUCUUUUCCAUAAACAAGGCCAGAGAGCAUAAAUAGUGGGGCCUCCAAUAAUCUCAACUACAACAACACCAGCAAGCUGACAAAACCCCAAAGGAGUCGGGAAAGUGACCACAUCGGCAUCCAAUUGCAAAGAUGAUACAAACCAGAGCUUGUUUUUAUCUUAGCUUCUCAAUGAAUUCAAAUUAAAUCACAGAACAGUUGAUUUCUGAAACAAGAGUCACCUGGUAAAGGUCAGCAUAUGUAAUGCAAUGAUGCCUCCUUUUCACCUCCUCUGACAUCAGAAUAGAACCAGAGUCCAUUAGAAAAAAAAAAUUAGUAUUUCAAUUUCAAGUAGGAAAAACUGAGAGUUAUGGUGGGAUGAAGUCCCAAUCAUACCAUCUCGGCACUGAACCUCAUUAAAAGGAGUUUGAUUACAAUACAAGCAGAAAAAAAAAAAANNNNNNNNNNNNNNNNNNNNNNNNNNNNNNNNNNNNNNNNNNNNNNNNNNNNNNNNNNNNNNNNNNNNNNNNNNNNNNNNNNNNNNNNNNNNNNNNNNNNUGCCAGUGUGCAAGGGCAAAAGGGAAAAUGAAUCUCACCACAAAGAUCAACUGCCGUUUUCAAACCCCUAUUUGCAGAAUGAUUAAGCUCUUGUGGGUUUCUAAUGGAGCCAUUUGGGCCCCCUGUCUUUGUGAGAGCAUCAUAAGUGCCUGCAUCAUGAAACCUGCAAACAAAAUGCUAUUUAGCUUUUGAUCAUUAAACCCCUCAUGCAUUAAAGCUAAAUUAUUUCAAAAUCCAAUAGAGCCAGAAUGCAAAAAGUCGGCUCACGAUCCCCCUCGUACAUGCCAAAUAUUAAGUCUCUGUUAAUUUGAACCUUGCAAAACACACACACACACAUGUAUGAGUCGUUUUGUUCAUGGCCUGUUCAUGGCCAUAUUUCUGAAACACCAAAAGUUAUAACACCUAGAAAAGCUUUUUUUUUUCUUUUUUCUAAUUUUUCUGAAAUUUUUAUCUUAUCUUCCCCAUCUAUUAAAAUGCAACCACUUAUGUUUUCUCCAUCUCCCUUCAAAAUGUCACUUCUAACAUUUACUAAAAGAAAUGAAACGCAGGGGAAAGAAAAAAGAAGCAUAAAUUAAACUUAAGAGACACUACGCUAGACGGAGCUGUAAGAUUAUUACAUGCAAUAUAUAUUUGAUCCAAGUAUAUGAACAUUUGCAACAUGAAUCAAAUCUGAAAAAGACUUAGAAUCGUCUACUUACCUCUAGCCAUUGUUUUGAGUUACUGUAAUCUGUGUAAGCCUUGAUUUCCAAACUCUGAUAUCUCCUUUUAGAUGGUGUAUUUCUAAAGAUAAAAAAAAGCUAAGAGACGAGUUCGGGACCAUGAGAGAUCUAUAUAACUGUGGCUUCCCAUCAUACCACGUUGUUUCUGAUUUGCCACACUAUGAGCAGUUUGUAGAACAUGCUCCUUAACCGUAGGGACAUAAGAUGGUUGGUGGAGGACGUGGUCAGGUGUUGGACCACUUCAAAGUGGUGAAUGUGUGUGAACAUGUAGCUGAUAACAUUCUCCCACUUGAUCCACACCUUUAACCUAAUGUCCUAUCUUAGUCCAUCAAUUAUCCGCAUUAAGUAACAAAUACAUGAAUCAUGGCAAUAAGUCCUCAAUAUAAUGAGUGUUACCUUCCAUGUAUUAUAGUGUAUUCAUUCUUAACAUUAUAAUUUAUGUGGCAAUAUUACUUAAUGAAUAAACCCUAUGUUCAUUCUUGGUCCAAUGAAGUUAAAUUUUCUCAAAAUUAAAUAAAGGUGCACAUCAAUAUGAGAAAAUAUCAUAAUAAGAGUUUGUACAAUAGAAACUACAUAAGGGAACUAAGUCCCAUGUUCACUACAUGAUCCUUGAAUUUCAACAGUGGCAUGCCCUUAGUCAAAGGAUCAACGAUCAUCAAUUCAGUGCUAAUGUGCUCAAUAACCACUUUCUUUUCUUUAACACGUUCUCUUAUGGCUAGAUACUUAAUGUCGAUGUGCUUGCUUCGACUUCCACUUUUAUUGUUUUUUGCCAUAAAGACUGCAGCUGAAUUGUUGCAAUAUAUACUCAAUGGGCUAUAUAUUGAAUCCAUAACUCUAAGCCCGGAAAUGAAACUCUUAAGCCAUACACCAUGUGAAGUAGCCUCAAAACAAGAUAUGAACUCAGCUUCCAUAGUAGAAAUAGCAGUUAAGGUCUGCUUAACGCUUCUCCAAGAUAUAGCUCCACCGGCCAAUAUAAAAAUGUAUCCAGAUGUUGAUUUACGUGAAUCAACACAGCUAGCAAAGUCUAAAUCUGAGUAGCUAACAACCUCUAAAUUGCUUGUUCGUCUGUACAUAAGCUUGUAAUCUUUGGUUCCUUGAAGAUAUCUCAUCACUUUAUUUGUAGCUUUCCAGUGGUCCAAACCUAGGUUACUCUGAUAUCGUCCUAACAUUCCAACAACUAAUAUAAUGUCCGGCCUUGUGCAGACCUGAGCAUACAUCAAACUUCAGAUUGCAGAAGUAUAUGGAGUGUUCUUCAUUUGUUCUCUCUCAAGAUCGUUUUUCAGGCAUUGGUUUAGAUUAAACCUAUCUCCCUUCGCUAUAGGGGAAACACUAGGUGAACAAUCCUUCAUCUGAAAUCUCUCUAAAACUUUAUUGAUAUAGGUCUCCUGAGACAGACCUAAGAUUCCUCGAAAUCUGUCUCUAUGCAUCUUAAUGUUAAUGACAUAAGAUGCCUCACCCAUAUCCUUCAUGUCAAAAUUUUUAGAGAAGAAUUGUUUCACCUCAUGAAGUAAACCUUUAUCAUUGGUUGCAAAUAAGAUGUCAUCCACAUAUAAAACAAGAAAACAAACUUUACUCCCACUGACCUUAAGAUAUAUGCAUUGAUCCAUAACAUUUUCUACAAAACCAAAUGAAGAAAUUUUGUUAUGGAAUUUUAAAUAUCAUUGGCGGGAUGCUUGUUUUAAACCAUAUAUGAAUUUCUUAAGCUUACAAACCAAUUACUCACCAUCACUAGAGGGGAAUCCUUCAGGUUGUUUCAUGUAAACCUCCUCUUCUAACUCUCCAUUAAGAAAUGUUGUUUUCACAUCCGUUUGUUGCAAUUCCAAAUCAAAGUGGGCUACUAAUGCCAAUAUAAUGUGCAAGGAAUCUUUCUUAGAUACAAGAGAAAAGGUUUCCAUGUAAUCGACUCCUUCUUUCUGAGUGAACCAUUUUGCAACAAGUCUGACCUUGUAUCUCUCAAUGUUGCUUAAUGAGUCUUUCUUUGUCUUAAAACCCCAUUUACAACCAAUGGCUUUUGCACCAUUAGGCAACUCAACAAGGCCCCAAACAUUGUUGUACCUCAUGGAACUCAUCUCAUCUUUCAUGGCAUUGUACCACAAUUCUAAUUUUUUGCAACUCAUGGCUUGUGAAAAAAAUUUGGGGAUCAUUNNNNNNNNNNNNNNNNNNNNNNNNNNNNNNNNNNNNNNNNNNNNNNNNNNNNNNNNNNNNNNNNNNNNNNNNNNNNNNNNNNNNNNNNNNNNNNNNNNNNUUAAUUAGACCUUCUUAAGGUUGCACCAAUAUCUUUUAAGGAAGUAUGAAGUUCAACUUGUUGUUCAGAAGUAUCAAGAAACUCCUGAUCAACUUGAUCUACUGAAAUGUUGUCAACAACUUGUGGAACUUCAAUAAUUGGUUGAACUUCAGCGAUUGUUCAUUCUACACCCAUUUGAACUUGAGGGUGUUAUGAACAACAAACAAUCUAUCUCUUGAAGUGGAAAGUUGAGACUCUAUAUGAUCAAUAUCAGAAACUAUGUUUCUAAAUUGAUCGCUCCCACUGACCAAGUCAUAUUCAAGAAUUUAGCAUUUCUUCAUUCCACAAUCCUAGUGUUGUGAGAUGGAUAGUAAAAUCUGUAUCCCUUAGACUUUUCAGCAUAUCCAAUGAAAUACCCACUAAUAGUCCUUGGGUCCAGUUUUUUCUCUUGUGGAUUAUAAAUUCUCACUUCAGACGAGCAUCCCCAAAUGCGCAUUUGUCGCAAACUCGGUUUCCAACCUUUCCAUAACUCAAAUGGCGUCUUUGGGACAACCUUGGUUGGAACUCGGUUUAAUAUAUAUAUUGUUGUCUUAAGUGCUUCAGUCCACAAGAAUUUAGGAAGUUUUGAGCUGCUAAGCAUACUCCUCACCAUGUCUAAUAAAGUUCAGUUUCUUCUUUCUAUUACACCAUUUUGGUCUGGAAAACCAGACAUGGUGUAUUGGGCAACAAUCCCAUGCUCUUGAAUAAACUUUGCAAAUGGCCCAGGUGCUUGUCCAUCUUCCAAGUAUCUACCAUAAUAUUCUCUACCUCUAUCUGAUCUCACAAUCUUAAUUUGUUUAUCACGUUGUUUCUAUACUUCUGCCUUGAAAACCUUAAAGGCAUCUAAUGCUUCAUUUUUGUUAUGAAGUAUGUAAAGAUACAUGUAUCGUGAGAAAUCAUCUAUGAAAGAGAUGAAGUAUUUAUGACCAUGAGAGUCCAUGUCAAGACUACAUAUAUCAGUAUGUAUGAUUUCUAAUAUGACGGAACUCCUUGUAGAACCUCUUUUUGACUUGUUGGUUUGCUUUCCCUUAAUGCAGUCCACACAAGUCUCAAAGUCAGUAAAAUCUAGGAUACUAAGUACCCCAUCAUUCACCAACCUUUUGAUUCUAUCUAUCGAGAUAUGACCUAAUCUUCGGUGCCACAAUAUAGGGGAAUCCUCAUUAACAACACAUCUCUUAAUGCCAAUUUGGACAUGUAAUGAAUUAUAAGUGGUAUUAUUUUGUAAGAAUAUGCAAUAAAGACCAUCAGACAAAAUAUCAUUCCCAACACAAUCAGAUUUAUAAAUCAAACUGAAAGAUGUUUAUGAAAAAUGAAAGGAAUAUCCAAACGGUACAACUCUAGAAACUGAAAUCAAGUUUUGUGGGAAACUUGGUACAUAAAAGGUCAUUUUCAAUUCCAAAACAAAACCACCAUUUAAAGUUAAAUAACAUGUCCCUAUUGCUUCCACAUGCGAGCACAUCUUGUUUCCAAAUAAUAUGAAUUGUUCAUUUCUCACUGGUUUCCUUAGGUUUUGCAUUCCCUACAAGGAAUUUGAAAUGUGGAUUGUAGAUCCAGAAUCAAUCCACCAUGUGUUGGUAUUUACAUUAACCAUAUUAGAUUCAUAACAAACAAAUGAGGUAGGGUUACUUUUCUUCUCAAAUCAUUUCUGAAAUUUCAGACAUUUCUUCUUGACGUGUCCUUUCCUUUUACAGAAAAAACAUUUUUCGUCUUUCUUAAUGUCAGAUUUGGGAGGAACUUGUUUCCCUUUCUAAUCGGCUUGAGAUUUUCCUUUCUUUCAUUUCUUUUGUGUCACCAGCAUGACACUUUCUCCUUGUUCCAUCAUUAACCUUCCUUCAUCUUGAACACACAUGGUCAUCAAUUCAUUGAUAGACCACUUAUUCUUAUGUGUGUUGUAAGAGAUUUUGAAAGGUCCAUACUGAGGCGGAAGAGUGUUAAGGAUAAAGUACACCAAGAAAGAUUCAGUCAUUUCUACCUCAAGCUUCUUCAAUUGAGCCACUAUGUCCAUCAUCUCCAUGAUGUGUUUGCGUACACGUCUUAUGUCGAUGAGCUUUAGGGAUGUGAACUUCAUAAUUAGGGUGCUUGCCAAGGCUUUAUCUGAAGUAACGAAUUGCUUGUUGCUUGAUUGAACCACGUAUACCAGCACUAAUUUUUGUCUUAAUGUACAUCACGCUGAGAUGAUUAGAUUUCUCUCAGCGUUCGUACAAUAGAAUUUCAUCAGGUGUGCUGGUAUCAGUGAUCUUAUGUGGUUUAUCUUUCCUUAUGGCAUAAUAUAUGUCCAUGCACCCUAAUUGAAGAAGAAUUCUCUCAUUCCAUAUCUUAAAGUUAUCUCCCUUGAGUUCGGGAACCUCACAACCAAUAUCAGAUAUGUUAGGUAAAACUGCACAAAAGGAUUAAAAGCUUAUUAAAAUUUGAGGCUUUAAUUUAAAUUCAUGUUUUACCAAUGUAGAACACACUUAAAAAAUUGAAUCUAAUUUUAUUAAAAAUUGUUCGUGGAUCAAAUCUUUAAUUCAAUCAGAUUCAUUAUCUUUAUGAUAGAUUUUAUCAAACUAUUUUACUGAAUUUAUGAAAUUUAUUAUGAAUAUAGUUUGAUAUUUUCUAUCUAUAAGCUUUAUAAUAAACCUAUUAAAUUAAUUAUUCCUAACUUCUGUGGGUAAAUUACGAAAAAUUAAUUUUAAUAUUUUAUCCUAAUUAAUUAUAUAAACAUAAUGAAAUCCCUAUGGGGUAAAAUUAUCAUAUUUAUUUAAUUAAUUACAAUUAAUGUCCAUAAUGUGAUCCCUAUUUUCUUAAUAUAUAAUUUUAUAUAAUUAAGAAUGUUGUAACUAUUCCUUAAUUAUUUAAAAUUAUAUGGUUCACUAGACAUUAAAACUAUAUGAUAUAAAUUUAAUAUAUCUAACACAAAUUUAGGCAAUAAUUUUGCACAUACGAACAUAUAAAUUAGAACAAAAUAAUUUAAUUUACAUGUAUAAAAAUCGCAUAAUAAUUUAAAAAUUAAUUUAAAAGGAUUUCAAAUUAUGAAUGGGUGCCUAAAUCCAACAAAAUUAUUUCAAACGUGCCAUAAGGGCCUAAACUAGCCCAAUUUGAACAAUUAUCCCAUGGCCCAUCAAUUAAAGCCUUUUAUUUUUUGCAAAAUGGGCCACUGCCCAUGCAUUGAGCCUAAUGGGCCUAAUAGUCACUUAUAUGAAGGCCUAAAACAAUAGUGGAACCAACUAGCCCAAUUUUAACAAUUAUCCCAUGACCCAACAAUUAAAGCCCUUUAUUUUUUGCAAAAUGGGCCACUGCCCAUGCAUUGAGCCUAAUGGGCCCAAUAGUCACUUAUAUUAAGCCCCAAAACAAUAGUGAAACCAAUCUCUCUCUAGAUUCAACAAAUUAAUAACACCUGCAUCGAAACCCACCAUCCUAACUUUCCGCUAUCCCGUGGACUGCUUCAUUCCCAAUAGCGCCAUGCACGCCACGAUCCGCGUGGACUGCAUCAUCACCAACAGUGACGUGCUUGCCGCUACCCACGUGGACUGCACCAUCAUCAGCUAGCUAUGGAGUCGCCUGCAACAUAUGGCAGGAAAAGCCCCACCACACGCGGUGCAUCCACGCAUGGUGGCUCACCAGCAAGAACAACUUAUGUUCUCAUCGGCCAUAUCAAGAUGGUUGGUCGCGACGGCGUCAACAGUCACCACAAACGGGAUGGGCUGCAUCCACCGGAGUGCAGCCCUGAUUCUUCCAUUCCCGCCUUUACGCGAGCUUCUCCACGCCAAUAUCGAUACCAUGAAGGCCUAUGACAUGAGGUGGUAAGGUUAGUUCUGUUUGCGGUGGGCGGCACCGCCAUCAAAGAGUGGGCCUGUGGCAUGGGAUAGAGAGGCUAGUGCAGUUUUUUUUUUUUUUUUAAGGGACCAGUUAGACUACCGAUCGGAGCUUGAGCAUUUCUGAGGGCCUGAGUGGUGAUGCUUUAGGCAUUUCAUUUAAGUAUCGGUUCAUAGAAAGCAUCGAAGGUUGCGACCUUUUGGCCGUGAGAAAACGCCUUGAGUUGGAACCUGAGUGGUUGCGCCUAUUGGAUGUUUCUAUCAAGCAUGGGUAUUUCGUUUUUAAAAUAGUGAUUUGAUAAAUCAACUUAUGGAUGUUUCUAUCAAGCAUGGGUAUGACUAUAUCUUACAAUCAGAAGAGAAACCAUUAACUAAGCGAUUCUGGUGCAAAACAGAUACCAAGGCAGAGGCAAGAUUGAGUUGGCUCUGAUACCAAAUGUAAGAUUAUUACAUGCAAUAUAUAUUCGAUCCAAGUAUAUGAACAUUUGCAACAUGAAUCAAAUAUGAAAAAGACUUAGAAUUGUCUACUUACCUUCAGCCAUUGUUUUGAGUUACUGUUAUCGGUGCAAACCUUGAUUUCCAAAUUCUGAUAUCUCUUUUUAGAUGAUGUAUUUCUAAAGAUAAAAAACAACAGAGAGACGAGUUCGGGACCAUGAGAGAUCUAUAUAACUAUGGCGUCCCAUCAUACCACGUUGCUUUUGAUUUGCCACACUAUGAGCCGUUUGUAGAACAUGCUCCUUAACCGCAGGGAUGUGAGAUGGCCGGUGGAGGAUGUGGUCAGGUGUUGGACCACUUUAGAGUGGUGAACGUGUGUGAACAUGUCACUAAUAACAGGAGCAUCAUGGGUGCACAUUUUUUGUUGGAAAUGAAAGCACAGAGAUAUCUAUGAGCCCUUUCGAUUUCUUUGUAGUAUUCUACAUUUACAACUAGUGGUGCUGGAGUUGGUGCUGGUGUAGAGGCUAAGGUUGAGGCUUGGGCUUCCAUGGGAGCUCACCCACCCUGCAAAGAAUUGAAGAGGAAAAGAAAAAGAAAUAACGAUAGUGGAGGGAGGACAUAUGAUAAGUUUUGUCUUUAUAAAGAGGGAAUCACAACAAAAAAAAUGGGUGGAAGAAAAAGGGUGGGGGAGAAAGGAAGCAAAGGAUUGAUUUUGCAUGGAAAGGGAAACGGUUCCAAUUAUAAACAUGCAAGGGACUACAACUAUUGAUUGUCUUCCUUCUUCGUCUUUUUCAAAUCUUCUUCAAAAUCUUCUUCUUCUUCGAAAUCUUCUUAUCUCUUGAGCGUUGUGUUGAUAAAAUGUAAUAUAACAUUCUAUGGAUGCAAUCCAAGAUUGUUUCCAUACAAUUACUAUGUAAGGAUGGAAUGAGCAUUUGUUUCAAUGAAAAUGAAAAAACAAAUAAAUUGGUAAUAACUUUCAUGUAUAUAGUUUAAUAUAUAUAUUUUUAUUUAAAAAAACACAUUAUUUAAAAUUAUUAUUUUUUAAUUUAAAAAAAAAUAUUUGAAAGGUUUUUUUGCUAAAUAAUAAAAACUUGACCCUCUGAUUUAAAAACAUUUCUAAAAACCAAAAAUUGUUUUUGAAAAAUUAUAACAUUGUUUGGUUGUUGUUUUCUAUAAAUAAAAAUAAAAAUAAAAUAAAAACAAAAUAAAAUAAGAAAAUCUUUUUUAAAGAAUAAAUAAAAAUUAUUUUCACUUAUUUAAAAUAUAAAUAAAUAAGAAAAAAUAAAAAUAAAAAACCAUAUAAACAAAUGAAUGUAUGUAUGAAAUAAAAAAAAUCGUUCAUUUAUAUUUUUAAAAUUAAAUUUUAUUUAUUUUUAAAUUCAUUCAAAAUAAAAUAAUAUUAACAGUUAUUAAUUUUAAAUUGUUAUUAUUAUUAUUAUUUCUUUCCAACAAAAUAAAUCAAUGAUGCUUUUAUGAAAAUGUUAAUAUCCAUUAUUUAUAAUAUUUAUAAAAAAUAUGAUUUUAUUAUAAUAUUACUAUUCAUAAUUUAUUAAAUAUAUUUAUUUUUUUAUUUUUAUAAUUACAAAUUUGUUUUUAUUUUUAAUAAGACUUGAAUUAAAAUUAGUUUACAUGAUAUAAAUUGAAUUUAUGGUUUUUUUUUUUUUUUACAAAAUCAAACAAAAAAAAUAAACAACUUAUUUAAAUAAGAUUUUCGUUUUUGUUUUUUUUUUUUUUAAAAAAAAAAAAAACUUCUUUGAAAACAAUCUGCAUGUAAGGAACCAAAAUACCUCAUUCUCUUAAAGGUAAAUUAAAAUCCUAUUUAUAAGUAAAAUUUUAUUUUUAUUGAAAUAAUUUUAUUUUUUAACAUUCUAGUUAUUGACGGAUAUUUUUACUUGCUUCUAAUAAUUUUAGAAGAAAGCUUGAAGGCCAUAAAAUUGAGGGGCUUUUUGAGUGCUUAUAUAAGAAAAAGCUUCAAGUACGUGUACGUCAUCCUCCAUGACGUCUUCUUCAACCAAAAGAUUCAUGACUACUUCCAAUACAGAGUUUUGGCUCAAAAUGACCCAUUUUUUAAACUUUUGAAAAUAAGCACAUUUUCAAACUAUUAUUCAAAAUGCCCUCUUUGAUGCCACGUAGGCGCCAUAUCAUUAAAAAAUAUUUUUUUUUCGUCAUUAUAGUGAAAACCGCAGUUGGAAAACGCGGCUUCAUUUUUGUACUAAAGCUACAGUUGGCAAAUGCAGCUUCAUUUUUACACUAAAGUCGCAGUUGUCAAACGCGACUUCAUUUUUAUACUAAAGUCGCAGUUGCCAAACGCGGCUUCAUUUUUUAACUAAAGCCGCAGUUGGCAACUGCGGCUUUAGUUAAUUUUUAUUUAAAUUUAAAAUUUAAUUAAAAAAUUAUUAAAUUAUAAUUUAUGAAUGAAAUUUAAAAAUAUACUUAAAUAAUAAAUUAUUUAUAUUUAAAUUUAAAAUUCUAAUAUUACUUCAACAAACAUAAAUUGAUAAAUAGAAGAUAUUAUAAAUGAAUGUUUUAUUUAUUAAUAAAUUAAUAAUCUUAAAAUAAUAAAUUUAUAUAACAUAUAAAUAAUAUAUAAAAUUGUAUAAUUUAUUAAUUUAAGAUAUUUAAUUUGUUAAUUUUUAAGAUAUUAAUUUAUUUAUAUUAUGAUAAAUUUAUCUUUAUCAAAAUAAUAGUAUAGUAGUUAAUAACUGAGAUUUCAAUUAUAACAUUUUUUUUUACUUUUAAAUUUAAUUAAAAACUAUUAAAUUACAAUAUAUGAUUGAAAUUUAAAAAAUAUACUUAAAUAAAAAAUUAUUUAUAUUUAAACUUAAAAAUCUAGUAUUAUUUCAACAAACAUAAAUUGAUAAAUAGAAGAUAUUAUAAAUGAACAUUUGAUUUAUUAAUAAAUUAAUAAUAUUAAAAUAAUAAACUUAUAAAACAUAUAAAUAAUAUAUAAAAUUGUAUAAUUUAUUAAUUUAAGAUAUUAAUUUAUUUAUAUUAUGAUAAAUUUAUCUUUAUCGAAGUAAUAGUAUAGUAGUUAAUAACUGAUAUUUCAAUUAUAAUAUUUUUUUUGUACUUUUCAAUUUAAUUAAAAACUAUUAAAUCACAAUUUAUGAUUGAAAUUUAAAAAAUAUACUUAAAUAAAAAAUUAUUUAUAUUUAAACUUAAAAAUCUAGUAUUACUUCAACAAACAUAAAUUAAUAAAUAGAAGAUAUUAUAAAUGAAUGUUUUAUUUAUUAAUAAAUUAAUAAUCUUAAAAUAAUAAAUUUAUAUAACAUAUAAAUAAUAUAUAAAAUUGUAUAAUUUAUUAAUUUAAGAUAUUUAAUUUGUUAAUUUUUAAAAUAUUAAUUUAUUUGUAUUAUGACAAAUUUAUCUUUAACAAAAUAAUAACAUACUCUUAAGCCAUAGUUGUCAUAUAUAGAUUUUUUUUACAAAAUUAGUUAAUGAAAUUAAUUUCAAAAAGUCUACUACAAAAUGUAAUUUUUAAUAGUUUAAUUAAAGUCACAAAAAAUAUCCACUAAACAUUAAUAUAGUGGAAAAUAAAAAACAUAUGUAAUCUCACAUACCUCCACAAGGAGAGAACCUAUGUGUAACUGGUAUUCUCUUCCUUUUUGGACAAGAACCUAUAUAUAAUCACACAUGAUAAAAUUUAUUUCUCACAUGGAUACAAUUGGCCGGAUAAAUGUCGAGGCUAGAAAUUGGUUGGAGCAAAUUCCUCUUGAAAAAUCUAUAUAUGACAACUACGGCUUAAGAGUAUGUUAUUAUUUUGUUAAAGAUAAAUUUGUCAUAAUACAAAUAAAUUAAUAUCUUAAAAAUUAACAAAUUAAAUAUCUUAAAUUAAUAAAUUAUACAAUUUUAUAUAUUAUUUAUAUAUUAUAUAAAUUUAUUAUUUUAAGAUUAUUAAUUUAUUAAUAAAUAAAACAUUCAUUUAUAAUAUCUUCUAUUUAUUAAUUUAUGUUUGUUGAAGUAAUACUAGAUUUUUAAGUUUAAAUAUAAAUAAUUUUUUAUUUAAGUAUAUUUUUUAAAUUUCAAUCAUAAAUUGCGAUUUAAUAGUUUUUAAUUAAAUUGGAAAGUAAAAAAAAAAUAUUAUAAUUGAAAUCUCAGUUAUUAACUACUAUACUAUUAUUUCGAUAAAGAUAAAUUUAUCAUAAUAUAAAUAAAUUAAUAUCUUAAAAAUUAACAAAUUAAAUAUCUUAAAUUAAUAAAUUAUACAAUUUUAUAUAUUAUUUAUAUGUUAUAUAAAUUUAUUAUUUUAAGAUUAUUAAUUUAUUAAUAAAUAAAACAUUCAUUUAUAAUAUCUUUUAUUAAUCAAUUUAUGUUUGUUGAAGUAAUACUAAAAUUUUAAAUUUAAAUAUAAAUAAUUUAUUAUUUAAGUAUAUUUUUAAAUUUCAUUCAUAAAUUGUAAUUUAAUAAUUUUUUAAUUAAAUUUUAAAUUUAAAUAAAAAUUAACUAAAGCCGCAGUUGCCAACCGCGACUUUAGUUAAAAAAUGAAACCGCGUUUAGCAACUGCGGCUUUAGUACAAAAAUGAAGCCCGUUUGCCAACUGCGGCUUUAGGGCAAAAAUGAAGCCGCGUUUCCCAACUGCGGCUUUAGUACAAAAAUGAAGCCGCGUUUUCCAACUGCGGCUUUCACUAUAAUGACGAAAAAAAAUAUUUUUUAAUGAUGUGGCGCCUAUGUGGCAUCAAAUAGGCCAUUUUGAACAAUAGUUUGAAAAUGUGCCCGUUUUUAACAUUAAGUUUCAAAAAUGGACCAUUUUGACCCAAAACUCUCCAAAACACGAUUGAAGGUAUCCAAGGAAAUGUUUGAAAGAGUCCUAUGAAAAAGUCAUUAAUAAGUACUUUUGCAAAGCCCUUUCAACCAUGAUACAAAAUUUUUCAAGUCUAAAAUCUUUUAAAUUAAACAAUUUCUUCACAUAUUAACAACUAUUGACUCAAAAUAACAAUAAUUCUUUUCUCCUAUUCUUGUAAAAGUUGUAUUAUUGCUAUUGAAUCAUAGCUUAUAUUUUAUCCUAAAUUUCAAAAUGUCACUAUUAAAUCAUAGUUUAUCCUUUAUCCUAAACUUCAAAAUGUAAGUGAAUUUGCUAAUACAUCUCGUUUUUUUUUUUAAAAUAAAUUUUGAUAAUAAAAAUUUAAUUAAAAAAAAAAAAGAUUUCACAAAUUAAAUCCUCUACCAAAACAAUUCAUAAAUUUAUGCUUCUUAUCCACAUAGAUAUCCAUGACUACAAUUUUAAUUUUUUUAGAUGAUUAAAAUUAUCAUUAGUAACUACGAUAAUUUUAUCGUAGCUAGUCACUAUGAUAACCUUAUCGUAGUCACAAACUACAAUUUUAUGUUUAUAAAAAUGAAAUUCUUAGGUCACAUGCUUGAAAUGCACUAAUUCAAAAAAUUAUUUUGGUAUAAAAUUAUGGUUAGUUUGGUCAUGUUCUCUAAAACUUGUUUUUAAAAACUGUUUUUUAUUCUUUAACUUAAUAACAGAUUUUAAAAGCAAGUUUAGAAAACAUGACCAAAUAGACCCAUGUUUUCAUUUUGUUUUUAAAAAUUGAUGAAAACAACUUCUACUUGUUCUUUAAAAAAUUAUUUUCUAUUUCACUUUAUUUUUAAAAAUCAUUUUCAAAAAACAACAACAAAAUAAUGUUAAAAAAAUAGUUUUAUAUCUUAAAAACAAAAAAAAAAAUUGUUUUUAAAUCACAUGGUCAAACAGACUUUUAAAUCACAUGGUUAAAAUUCCCAAUUCACAUGUACUAAUUUAGGAUGAUUUUAUACAUAGAAUAUAAGUUUAGUUUGUGAACCAAAUGAAAACCCAUUUAAUAUUUCUUUUUCAUGGCAUGCACAUGUUGAAUGUGGAAUCACAAGCCUGUAAAUUUUUAAACUUUACCUAAGAAGAAAUUGUUACCUUUUGGGAUAUUUUUAGGUGGAAAGUUGUAAAUUGAAAAGUUUGAGAAGGGUAUAGUUGUCCAAAAGGGAGGAUAUUUUUGGCAUUUCCCCUGGAAUGCUCUUCUCUGACAGAUUGAUUCCAGUGCCACAGUUCCCUGAAAAAAGCAAGCAAAUUUAUUAAUAUCCCAAAACACCCCAAAUUUCAAUUGGCAGAUUAAAAUUUUAGAUCAUGAAACGGUGUCGUUUCAUCGGGGUCCAUGCAAAACGCUUUACAAAAAAUCCUUGUCUUCUUAAAAUCUGGUUUUUUGAUACAAUACAUUUAUAUCUUCCAUUUUUGAAAUGCAUAGUUACCAAAACACCCCUCCCUUCCUUCCUUAUUAGUUCCCUUGUUCUCCGCACGUCCCAAGGGCAUGCCGUGAAUAAAGGCACAUUCUAGGGGCAUUUUGGUCAUAAUACUUUAUUUGAUAAAAUUACUCCACUGGGCACCCUGCCCAACGUUCAUUUGUCUGCUUACAUCUCAAAACUGCCGCUCCGUUGCUUUCCUCCUCACAACCAGAGAGUGGGGGAGAGAAGAGAGGAGAUGAAACGGUGUCGUUUGUUUGGGAGGAAGUGAGGUUAAAGAUUCUGAGACACAAAAGAAGUGAAGGAGAAAAACGGUGGCUUUUUGAGACCCGCCAUCGAUGAAAGCUUCAGAAGCUUUACCAAAGUGAGAGAACGCAGAAAACGUUUUGGUUGUUGUUUUGUUUUUUGAAAAUCAGAAAUGGGUUGUUGUUACUCGAGAAUAGAGAGAGAAGAGAUGGUUUCAAGGUGUAAGGCGAGGAAGAGAUACAUGAAGCAGUUUGUGAAGGCGAGGCAAGCCCUGUCUGCAGCCCACAGUAUGUAUAUCAGAUCCCUGCGUGGCACUGGCUCUGCUCUCCUUCAGUUUGCCACCGCCGAGACCAAUCUCUACCACCACCAUCUCACACCGAUUCUACCCUCUCCACCGCCGCCCAUGAGUCCCAGCUCCGAUACGUGGACAUCAUCACAGCCUCGCCCUCUCAUCUGCCGCCUCCGCCUCCUCCUCCUCCACCACCACAGCAGCCCUCUGAAUUUUUUUUUUUAAGGGGGGCACGUGGACAAAAUGAGGGAGGGGCACGUGGACACAAUUGAGGGGGUCCUUACAACGGCUAGAAAAAUACAACGGUCGAAUUCGAAUCUCUUUUUCAAUCUCUCCCUCUCUCUCUCUGUCUCAUUCUCUCCCUCUAUCUAUCUCUCUCCCUCUCCCUCUCCCUCUCCCUCUCUGAAACCCCCUCGCAACUCUCCCUCCCUCUCUCCCUCUCUCUCUCUCUCUGAAACCCCCGAAGAUGCAAGACAUGUGGAAUGUUCCCCCUGGUUUCAGGCCCAGCACAUCUGCGCCUUCGUCUCCCGCAAAGCCUAUUCGGGUGUCAAGAACUCGAUCAGAGUCCUUUCAUGUCACCCACAAAGUCCCUGUUGGCGACACUCCUUAUGUGAGAGCCAAAAAGGUUCAGGUAAGCUUCCGUUCUGGGUAAUCUUGAAAUUUGCCAACAAACCGAGGUUUCUUCUUUUGCGUGAUUGAUCUCUGUUUGAUGGGUUUGAUUAUGACUUUUGUUGCAUCAGUUGGUUGACAAGGACCCGGAAAAGGCAAUCCCGCUAUUUUGGGCCGCCAUUAAUGCUGGAGAUCGAGUGGAUAGUGCGCUCAAGGACAUGGCCAUUGUGAUGAAGCAACAGAACAGGGCUGAAGAAGCCAUUGAGGCUAUUAAAUCGUUGCGAAGUCGUUGUUCAGAUCAAGCCCAAGACUCUCUUGAUAAUAUCCUUCUGGAUCUGUACAAGGUCCUGUCCUUUCGAAAUUCCUUAUCACUUGUUUGUAUCUGGCUAUUUAAGAUUAUUGAGUACUGAUUUUUGUCUUUUGGAAAUUCGAUUCGACAGAGAUGCGGGAGAUUGGAUGAUCAAAUUGCACUUUUGAGGCACAAAUUGUUCUUGAUUCAACAAGGGAUGGCUUUCAAUGGGAAGCGCACCAAGACUGCCAGAUCCCAAGGGAAAAAAUUUCAGGUGUCCGUGGGACAAGAAGCGACUCGGUUACUGGUAAGCACACGGUUUUUCUGCUAGUUUCAGUCCUCUAUCUCUCCCUAAACUCCAUAUUGAGACGAAUUUCCAUUUCAGGGGAACUUAGGAUGGGCAUUGAUGCAGCGGAACAACUAUAUCGAAGCAGAAGAUGCCUACAGGCGGGCACUUUCAAUGACUCCAGAUAAUAACAAGAUGUGCAAUCUGGGUAUCUGCUUGAUGAAGCAAGGGAGGAUUCUGGAAGCCAAAGAAACCCUUAGAAGAGUGAAACCGGCUGUUGCAGAUGGACUGAGAGGUGUAGAUUCCCACCUCAAAGCAUUUGAGAGGGCACGGCAGAUGCUGCUUGAUCUUGAGUCUGAAAUGUUGAAUAAGGGAAGCGACCCUGUCGAACAGAGUCGGCUCUUUGAUGCCUUCCUCAGUUCUUCCUCGCUUUGGCAGCCUCAGCCUUGUAAGGACCAGCACACAACGAAUACAAUCAAAUCUCAAGAUGAUUUUGGGGAUGAGAACUUCGACACCAACAGAGUCAUGAAGGUUCUUCCUGGACAGAAGAUUGCCAAACCAACGGCUGUUCA
rnacentral:lncRNA from 1 species